rnacentral:lncRNA from 1 species
UUCGGAGCCCAGGAAUCUACCUGAAGUAGACCUAGAGGCUGAUGGCACAGGUGGGUAAUGCCACAGCUGUGGGUAAUCCCCACAGUAGUUGGUAUAAAUAAGUUGAGAUGAGGUGGGGAGUAAUGUCAAAGGUUUUGUCAGCUUCUUACAACCUUAUGCUGGGAUGUUUAGCCUAUGUCCAAUGCUUGUAGAAGUACUAAGGUGGAAAUGCUCCAUGCACCAGAUCCAAGAGUACAGUGAAGGGAGUGUUAUCAUACUCUUCUUCUGGACCACAUCUAAAACUAGAGCCCCGCAGUACCUCCCUUCUUGAAACUCAGCACCAGUGGGUGAAUUCACAGCCUUUCAUCAACAACAGUCCAGAAGGAACAGAGACACACAGCAACCUGAAGAACAAAACAUGCCACCGGUAUUUAUUAACAUAGCCUUGUAAAUCAAAACAGCCUUCCUGUCUGGUGUCUUGUCUAGAAAUUAUUGGCUCAUUCAUCUUAACCAUAUUAAGCAGACCACAUUUAUCAAGUUCACGUAAAAAGAGACAUAUAAGGACUAUGCCUGGCCAAUAGUUACAUGCAGGUAUCAUGCUUAGGGUAUGCCCAUUUUUGCAGGUAUGUAACAGUUUGUUGCCAUUACCAGGAGCAAGCUUUCUGGAGGGAGAAAGAGGUGCUCGCCUUUUUGGCUCAGGUAUAUAUGCAGGGACAUGAAAAGAGAUGAAACUCAGAGAAACUUCAAAACUUGGGUCAAAAUAAUGGCACAGGCUGAACAUGAUGAGUUCAAGGAUAUUAGUCUGUGUGAAUAAUCCAGUAAAGAUCUCAAGCAACCGAAUCAAAUAAUAGCAAUUUUCUCUCUAUUUUCCAAGCAUGCCCUCAUGAUACAGAAUCAUAGAACUGCUUAAGUUAGAAGGUGCCUUUAAAGGCCAUCUGGUCCAACUCCCCUGCAGUGAAGAGGGACACCUACAGCUUGAUCAGGUGCCUGGAACCCCAUUCAGCCUGACUUUGAGUAUUUCGAGGGACAGGGCAUCUACCUCUUCUCUGGGCAACCUGAGGCAGUGCCUCACAUAUACAAGGGAAUUGAGAAUUAUAUACAUUUGUCAGAGAAAACUGGAAUAAGCUUUACUUGCUGGCCCUCACUCUUUGUUAGGGU